CUGAGUAUAGCUCAGUGGUAGAGCAUAUGCUUAGCAUACGUGCACGAGGGCCUGGGUUCAAUCCCCAGUACCCACC
rnacentral:tRNA from 1 species